GUACUUCUGAAGAGUCCAAAACUAGGACGAAACAGUUGUCCAGUAC
rfam:Trichobilharzia regenti genome assembly, scaffold: TRE_scaffold0008681